AUUAGCUCAGCUGUUACAGUUGUUUUGACCCUACAUGUUCAUUUGAUCCUCAUCAGCACAGAUGCAGUAAUUUAGUUUGACUGCAUGCAGUCCCCCAGCUAGGAUUGAAUGCUCCUUGCUACACUUAAAGGGAGAAGCAGAAUAGGGUGAAAGGGGAGAGAGGUGCAGAAACAGUGAAAAGAAAAUAGCAGGAGACCUUCUACAUGUAGCAUGUGGAGCAGAGUCAAGGGUUGGAGUGAGGAAACAUGACUGAGAGGUGUUUGAAGAGCUAAUUUGAAGGGGAAUGGGAAUACUGUCACAGUCAGCUGUGGGCAAGAGCCUUCCACCGGAGCAGUGCAGGCAGUGGGACACCAAAGGCUGGUGGUAUCACAAUAAGGGGGUGGAGGUACCACAAAGGAGGAAAAUGGAAGAGCAGGUCUUGGAAACAAAGUUUUGGAAACAAGUAUGGAAACUUGGAAACAAGUUAUUACAGAGAGAAUCCUGAUUUUUACGCUUGGUGAAGCCAAUUUCAUAAAAGUGUUUCUGUACGCAAAGGCUCAUCUGUAUUGUGUUUGCAUAGACGUGUAAGGAAUAGCAGCCAGAAUUGCCAAAUGCAGGUGGGGAUAGAUGAGAAAGGCUAAAGGAGUAUAUUAAUUCUGUGCAGUCAGUUGCAUUGGAGGUGCAAAUGAGGACAAGAAUGAAGCACGCAUGCUCAUGUCAAAAGG
ensembl:lncRNA